rnacentral:other from 1 species
GAAAAUGUGUGAUCUGAUUAGAAGUAAGAAAAUUCCUAGUUAUAAUAUUUUUAAUACUGCUACAUUUUUAAGACCCUUAGUUAUUUAGCUUUACCGCCCAGGAUGGGGUGCAGCGUUCCUGCAAUAUCCAGGGCACCUAGGUGCAGCCUUGUAGUUUUAGUGGACUUUAGGCUAAAGAAUUUCACUAGCAAAUAAUAAU